GAAAGAAGUAAAGGCGGAAGAGAAGAAAGAAGAGAAGGCAGAGGAGAAGAAAGAAGAACCUAAACCACCAUCCCCAUUUGUCUUGUUUGUGGAUUUGCACUGUGUGGGAUGUGCAAAGAAGAUUGAAAGGACACUUCUUAGGAUAAGAGGUCACUCUCUCGACUGAAAAUUUACGUGUAAAAUGAGCCUUAUUUGUAACAUAUAUAUUAUUGAUCUUUGCAGGAGUUGAAGGAGUUGCAAUCGACAUGGCUCAAAACCAAGUGACUAUAAAGGGAGUUGUGGAGCCUCAAGCAGUAUGCAACAGACUCAUCAAGAAAACCAAGAGAACAGCUAAAGUCUUAUCGCCAUUACCGGAAACUGAGGGUGAACCUCUACCAGAAGUUGUUGCCUCACAGGUAGAAAAAAUCUGACAUUUGUUUUUUUUUUCAAAUUCAAAUUAUAAUCCCAAAUCUUUUUUGAAAAAUGUUUUCGAUUGACAUCCAGGUUAGUGGAUUGGCUUCUUUGGAACUUAAUGUGAACAUGCACUGUGAGGCCUGUGCUGAGCAGCUUAAGAAAAAGAUACUCAAAAUGAAAGGUAAUACUUGGUAUACAUGCUAAACAUGACUUGCCAUGGUAAUAACUCUGUUAUUUCUAUUAAAACUUGAGUUUCAUUUUAAAUGGUCAACCUUAUUGAAAUGAGUAGCCAAACCUUUAUAUGUUGGUCUAUAUUUUCAUUUGUAUUCAAUGUCGGAUUUAUCCCUUGACAUCGCGAGAUGGCGCAGACCAAUCUAGAUGUUUGUGUGCUUAUUUUUGAGUUUAAUCGGAUCGAACUGCUCUUUGGAGCUUAAUGAGCAUUGAUACCAUAUUAAAACUUAUAUUCUAUCUUAAAAGGUCAAUUUUAUUAAGAAGAGUAGCCCAAAUCUUAUAUGUUUGUCUAUAUUUUAAUCUUUAUUCGAUGCUUUUUGAUUCCCAAAGUUUUCUUAGAAAGAGUAAGUUACAAACUGAACCAAGAAAAAUCACCUUUCAAGUUUACCAUUCAAGUGUAAUUUGAUUUGGGUAUAAGAAAGAAGAUAGAAAUCACAUCACUGUCCUUUUUCUUGUUGUUUUACCCUUAACAGUUCCUAUUAAAAUCUCUCUUGGUGUUUACGGUUUCGUUAUAGCAUCUGGAUUGUGUACUAUAGGUGUGAGGACAGUUGAAACCGAAUUAAGCUCUGGGAAAGUGAUAGUAACAGGCACCGUGGAUGCAGACAAGCUCGUUGAUUACGUCUAUAGAUGCACAAGAAAGCAGGCCAAAAUUGUCCCCCAGCCGGAACCUGAGAAGCCCGCCGCAGAAGAAUCAAAGCCUGAAAACAAAAAAGAAGAAAAACCAGCUGAAGAAGCAAAACCCGAAGAGAAACCACCGGAAGAGGGAACGAAAGAAGGCAAGGAGGAGCAAGGUGGUGAAAACAAAGAGGAAGCCAAGAAAGGAGAGGAGAUCGUUAGUGAUGAAAUGUCCAUGCAGAAAAUGAUGCAUUAUUAUCAGCCUCUUUAUUACAUUGAAAGAAUUCCCCCACCUCAGCUCUUUUCUGAUGAAAAUCCAAAUGCUUGUUGCAUUGCAUAAUCACUAAAAAUCACAGAUUAUUUUUUCUUUUCUUGUGAUUUUUGACAUAUCUAAGUCAUUAUCGAAUGCAAGGUUCAGUUUCUCAAUUAUAUUCGACUGAAUGAUGGUAUAAUAAUCAUUCUGUAAUUCCUGUUUCAUAUUUUAUACAUAUGAUUGAAGAGCUUAAUAAAAAUCUUCUUCUAUUCUAUAUUCAUAUUUUAUUCUAUAUGUGGCAUGUAUUAUUAUUAUGGAGAUCAAACAUAGGACAUACUCUAGCGAAAGAUGCAAAAAACAAACUUUCCCCGUCUAGAGAGGCAGUAUAAAGAAAUAUACUUCAUUUCCCUAGUCAUGCUUGUCAUAUGCCAGAGUGUAGUUUUUCCCUGUCUCUUGGUUAAAUUCGAACAGGCUACUUCUGGUUUGGUUCAGCUAAAAAAUUGUAUUAAANNNNNNNNNNNNNNNNNNNNNNNNNNNNNNNNNNNNNNNNNNNNNNNNNNNNNNNNNNNNNNNNNNNNNNNNNNNNNNNNNNNNNNNNNNNNNNNNNNGAGAAGAAAGAAGAGAAGGCAGAGGAAAAGAAAGAAGUAAAGGCGGAAGAGAAGAAAGAAGAGAAGGCAGAGGAGAAGAAAGAAGAACCUAAACCACCAUCCCCAUUUGUCUUGUUUGUGGAUUUGCACUGUGUGGGAUGUGCAAAGAAGAUUGAAAGGACACUUCUUAGGAUAAGAGGUCACUCUCUCGACUGAAAAUUUACGUGUAAAAUGAGCCUUCUUUGUAAUUUAUAUAUUAUUGAUCUUUGCAGGAGUUGAAGGAGUUGCGAUCGACAUGGCUCAAAACCAAGUGACUAUAAAGGGAGUUGUGGAGCCUCAAACAGUAUGCAACAGACUUAUCAAGAAAACCAAGAGAACAGCCAAAGUCUUAUCGCCAUUACCGGAAACUGAGGGUGAAC
rnacentral:lncRNA from 1 species